ensembl:processed_transcript
GUCUGGUGGAGCUGCUGAAUCGAGCGCAGUGCAGUCGUGCUGAUGAUCAGCGUGGGUUACUCACUAAAGAGCAGCUGGAGAUCCCGCAGUUCCUGCAGCUGCCAGCAGGAGGAGCGGAGGACCAGGAGUGCGCACUAUAACACACACACACACAGACUGCAGGAGUGAAGCUUGACACUGCUUCAGCGUGUGCUCAUCAGAGUGUGUGUGAUAACUCAGAUCAGUCAUGGAUCAGAAG